rnacentral:rRNA from 1 species
CCUACGGGUGGCAGCAGUGGGGAAUAUUGCACAAUGGGGGAAACCCUGAUGCAGCGACGCCGCGUGAGUGAAGAAGUAUUUCGGUAUGUAAAGCCCUAUCAGCAGGGAAGAAAAUGACGGUACCUGAUUAAGAAGCCCCGGCUAACUACGUGCCAGCAGCCGCGGUAAUACGUAGGGGGCAAGCGUUAUCCGGAUUUACUGGGUGUAAAGGGAGCGUAGACGGCAGGGCAAGUCUGGAGUGAAAUGCCGGGGCUUAACCCCGGUACUGCAUUGGAAACUGUGCAGCUGGAGUGCCGGAGAGGUAAGUGGAAUUCCUAGUGUAGCGGUGAAAUGCGUAGAUAUUAGGAGGAACACCAGUGGCGAAGGCGGCUUGCUGGACUGUAACUGACGUUGAGGCUCGAAAGCGUGGGGAGCAAACAGGAUUAGAUACCCCAGUAGUC